GUUCGGCAGACUCGCAGGCGCCGUUUGUAAAUUCCGCGGCGGCACGAUCGAACGCGUUUUUCAACCGAAACGCACCGUCGUUCGUUCCGUCGUGUAUGGCACGCGCGGUUUUACGGUUUUACGAUCCGUACUUGGUGCAAACUAAACGCCAACGGCUAAAACACGAGUUCACGUUCCCAGCGUUCGAGCGAACCCGAACAACUAUAAAUUGUUAAGUUUAAAUCGAUGCCCAACGUCGUUAUACUUACGAGGAAAUCGCAGUUGUUUUGAAUCCUAUCUGAUUGACGGCACGGAAAACCCGAUUGUGAAUAGUUAUAAUAUUAUACGCGGGUAUUCUGUGACACGUGUGUUUCAGUCCGACUCGUUGUUUGCGAUUUUAUCGUUUAUAUGUUACAUCGUACACAACGCACUCGCUCAAACACGUUAUUAGAAAUCCGUUCGAACACGUCAUGGUCCUGAGUUAUAACCGAGAAAUCAUGCGAUUACACGGGUACAGGUAGUCAAAAAUAAAUAAUUAUAACAAAAAUAUCAUGUCGAUUAAAAAC